CAGGGAUAGGAAUGCAGAAGUUCUUUGGACUCCAAGCUGUUCUCCUGCAACCAGCAUUUCUACCACGCUGUUUCGUUUGUGCACCAGGCAACAGAACUACUAACCUUUGAGUGAGAGAAACUUCUGCUGAUGUCAAAUGACCACGAGGACAUUAACAACUGAUUUUGGUGCCUGUCGGGUGCCGUUGGGAGUGCAAGGAGGCUCUUGCCAUCAUCAGGGCCCCAUUACACGAGGUGCCAUACAAACAUAUGCCCUACUAAUGACCUAUGCUAAGUUUGAACUGCAAACCCC